CAGUCGCCGCGGGAAUACGAAGUGGGCUAGCGUUGCUCGGAAUUACUGGGCGUAAAGGGAGCGUAGGCGGGUCGUUUAGUCAGAGGUGAAAUCCCGGGGCUCAACCUCGGAACUGCCUUUGAUACUGGCGACCUUGAGUAUGGGAGAGGUGAGUGGAACUCCGAGUGUAGAGGUGAAAUUCGUAGAUAUUCGGAAGAACACCAGUGGCGAAAGCGACUCACUGGCCCAUUACUGACGCUGAGGCUCGAAAGCGUGGGGAGCAAACAGGAUUAGAUACCCGCGUAGUCCCUGUCUCUUAUAC
rnacentral:rRNA from 1 species